rnacentral:rRNA from 1 species
GAUGAACGCUGGCGGCGUGCCUAAUACAUGCAAGUCGAGCGAACAGACGAGGAGCUUGCUCCUCUGACGUUAGCGGCGGACGGGUGAGUAACACGUGGAUAACCUACCUAUAAGACUGGGAUAACUUCGGGAAACCGGAGCUAAUACCGGAUAAUAUAUUGAACCGCAUGGUUCAAUAGUGAAAGACGGUUUUGCUGUCACUUAUAGAUGGAUCCGCGCCGCAUUAGCUAGUUGGUAAGGUAACGGCUUACCGAGGCGACGAUGCGUAGCCGACCUGAGAGGGUGAUCGGCCACACUGGAACUGAGACACGGUCCAGACUCCUACGGGAGGCAGCAGUAGGGAAUCUUCCGCAAUGGGCGAAAGCCUGACGGAGCAACGCCGCGUGAGUGAUGAAGGUCUUCGGAUCGUAAAACUCUGUUAUUAGGGAAGAGCAAAUGUGUAAGUAACUAUGCACGUCUUGACGGUACCUAAUCAGAAAGCCACGGCUAACUACGUG